GCGCCCGUCGCCAAGCGGCCAAGGCAAUCGCCUGCAGAGCGGUUAUGCGAGGGUUCGAGUCCCUCCGGGCGCU
rnacentral:tRNA from 1 species